rnacentral:rRNA from 1 species
UACGUAGGGGGCGAGCGUUGUCCGGAGUUCCUGGGCGUAAAGCGCACGCAGGCGGUCUGCUAAGUUUGGAGUGACAGUUGGUGGCUUAACUGCCAAAGUGCUUCGAAAACUGACAGACUUGAGGGCUUCAGAGGGACACGGAAUUCCGGGUGGAGUGGUGAAAUGCGUAGAGAUCGGAAAGAACACCAACGGCGAAAGCACUCUGCUGGGCCGACACUGACACUGAGAGACGAAAGCUAGGGGAGCGAAUGGG